UACGUAGGGUGCAAGCGUUGUCCGGAAUCAUUGGGCGUAAAGAGCGUGUAGGCGGCUCGAUCAGUCUGCUGUAAAAGUCCAGGGCUCAACCCUGGGAUGCCGGUGGAUACUGUCGGGCUAGAGUCCGGAAGAGGCGAGUGGAAUUCCUGGUGUAGCGGUGAAAUGCGCAGAUAUCAGGAGGAACACCAAUGGCGAAGGCAGCUCGCUGGGACGGUACUGACGCUGAGACGCGAAAGCGUGGGGAGCAAACAGG
rnacentral:rRNA from 1 species